UGUUCCAGGUAAAUCCGGUUCACUUUAACACUGAGGCGUGACGACGAGGCACUACGGUGCUGAAGCAACAAAUGCCCUGCUUCCAGGAAAAGCCUCUAAGCAUCAGGUAACAUCAAAUCGUACCCCAAACCGACACAGGUGGUCAGGUAGAGAAUACCAAGGCGCUUGAGAGAACUCGGGUGAAGGAACUAGGCAAAAUGGUGCCGUAACUUCGGGAGAAGGCACGCUGACACGUAGGUGAAGUGAUUUACUCAUGGAGCUGAAGUCAGUCGAAGAUACCAGCUGGCUGCAACUGUUUAUUAAAAACACAGCACUGUGCAAACACGAAAGUGGACGUAUACGGUGUGACGCCUGCCCGGUGCCGGAAGGUUAAUUGAUGGGGUCAGCGCAAGCGAAGCUCCUGAUCGAAGCCCCGGUAAACGGCGGCCGUAACUAUAACGGUCCUAAGGUAGCGAAAUUCCUUGUCGGGUAAGUUCCGACCUGCACGAAUGGCGUAAUGAUGGCCAGGCUGUCUCCACCCGAGACUCAGUGAAAUUGAACUCGCUGUGAAGAUGCAGUGUACCCGCGGCAAGACGGAAAGACCCCGUGAACCUUUACUAUAGCUUGACACUGAACAUUGAGCCUUGAUGUGUAGGAUAGGUGGGAGGCUUUGAAGUGUGGACGCCAGUCUGCAUGGAGCCGACCUUGAAAUACCACCCUUUAAUGUUUGAUGUUCUAACGUGGACCCGUAAUCCGGGUUGCGGACAGUGUCUGGUGGGUAGUUUGACUGGGGCGGUCUCCUCCUAAAGAGUAACGGAGGAGCACGAAGGUUGGCUAAUCCUGGUCGGACAUCAGGAGGUUAGUGCAAUGGCAUAAGCCAGCUUGACUGCGAGCGUGACGGCGCGAGCAGGUGCGAAAGCAGGUCAUAGUGAUCCGGUGGUUCUGAAUGGAAGGGCCAUCGCUCAACGGAUAAAAGGUACUCCGGGGAUAACAGGCUGAUACCGCCCAAGAGUUCAUAUCGACGGCGGUGUUUGGCACCUCGAUGUCGGCUCAUCACAUCCUGGGGCUGAAGUAGGUCCCAAGGGUAUGGCUGUUCGCCAUUUAAAGUGGUACGCGAGCUGGGUUUAGAACGUCGUGAGACAGUUCGGUCCCUAUCUGCCGUGGGCGCUGGAGAACUGAGGGGGGCUGCUCCUAGUACGAGAGGACCGGAGUGGACGCAUCACUGGUGUUCGGGUUGUCAUGCCAAUGGCACUGCCCGGUAGCUAAAUGCGGAAGAGAUAAGUGCUGAAAGCAUCUAAGCACGAAACUUGCCCCGA
rnacentral:rRNA from 2 species